CCUACGGGUGGCUGCAGUGAGGAAUAUUGGUCAAUGGACGAGAGUCUGAACCAGCCAAGUAGCGUGAAGGAUGACUGCCCUAUGGGUUGUAAACUUCUUUUAUAUGGGAAUAAAAUGUUCCACGUGUGGGAUUUUGUAUGUACCAUAUGAAUAAGGAUAGGCUAACUCCGUGCCAGCAGCCGCGGUAAUACGGAGGAUCCGAGCGUUAUACGGAUUUAUUGGGUUUAAAGGGAGCGUAGGUGGAUUGUUAAGUCAGUUGUGAAAGUUUGCGGGUCAAACGUAAAAUUGCAGUUGAAACUGGCAGUCUUGAGUACAGUAGAGGUGGGCGGAAUUCGUGGUGUAGCGGUGAAAUGCUUAGAUAGCACGAAGAACUCCGAUUGCGAAGGCAGUUCACUGGACUGCAACUGACGCUCAUGCACGAAAGUGUGGGUAUCGAACAGGAUUAGAUACCCCAGUAGUC
rnacentral:rRNA from 1 species